rnacentral:tRNA from 1 species
GCAGGGGUUGCGGAGCCUGGUCAAACGCGCCAGACUCAAGAUCUGGUCUCUUAGGAGUUCGUCGGUUCAAAUCCGGCCCCCUGCA